rnacentral:lncRNA from 1 species
GCACCUGAUUUAUUUUUUAUUUUUUAGUUUUAAUUUUAUCUUUAUCUUUUGGGAGUUCUAAUCCUUUUGAAAAUCCCAAUCCACAUCUUGUAUAAUUUUAGGCUUAUCUUGCGCUACACGGAAUUGACGUGUUAAAGCAAAAUUUUUGCCUUUGAUAUAUAUAUAAUGGAGUUUGGGCCCAAAUACCGGCCCAAAAUGCUUAAGCCCAGUUAUUAUUACUAUAUAUCCAAUCACAUCCCCAUUCCUAUUUUUAUCCGAUGUGUGAUUAUUGGAUUAAGACCCUGACGUUCUCGUCAGUCCAAUCACACAAGAGUCCAAGAUCAUCAGGUGAUGUGAGACUUGUCUCGCUUAGCUCUGUCAUCCAGAUUCUGGCAUAGCUGAUCAUCUUGUCAUUCAGACUCCGGCAUAUUCCGUCACCUUGUCUUUCAGAUCCUGACUCAAUCGAAACACACUCCGGCAUAUCCUGUCACCUUGUCUUUCAGACCAUGGCUCAAUCGAAACACGCCACACAUUUUCGGCUGGUGAUUGGCUCCGAUACCAAAUGUAAAGACCAGUCUACUAACAAUAAUGACUCGUUGGGUCCAAACACUAGCUCAAAAUGUUUAAGCCCAGUUAUUAUUUCUAGCGUCUAAAUCUCUUAUAUAUCCAAUUACAUCCCCAUUUCUAUCCGAUGUGUGAUUAUUAGGGUGUAACAAGGUUGCAUGAGUUCAACCUUGUACCUGGGCAUAUCUGAGAGCAAAACCCUACUCUCUACCUAACCUUCUUUUAUUUCUCACCAUUGAUCUUUUGCGCUGAUUUUUACCGAGCUUUCUAAUAUUUCGUUGGAUCUCCUAAGGUUUGCUGGGUUUAUCUUACGCCACCUUGAAAGCGUGUUGACAGGGUGAAAUAUUGACGUUGUAUUGCUGAAAGUAAUUGCCGGAAAGCCUUACACGUGGAGGGACAAUUUCGUUUCCAGAACAGUACUCUGCACACCUCAAUCCGCAUACCUUUUCUAUUCCUUUUCACUACAGUAUUUAUUAUUUAAUUUUUUAAAAUUUUUUUGGAAAAUUGAAAUUAAACUCUCGAAUUAUUUUUAAAAAAUAUUUUACUAAAAGAUCAGAAAGAUUUUCCAACACCCCACUUACCUACCAAAUAGAAGAGGUGCGCGGGCAAUC